rnacentral:rRNA from 1 species
AGAGCGAACGCUGGCGGCAGGCCUAACACAUGCAAGUCGAACGGACCCUUCGGGGUUAGUGGCGGACGGGUGAGUAACACGUGGGAACGUGCCUUUUGGUUCGGAAUAGCUCCUGGAAACGGGUGGUAAUGCCGAAUGUGCCCUUCGGGGGAAAGAUUUAUCGCCAUUAGAGCGGCCCGCGUCUGAUUAGCUAGUUGGUGAGGUAAUGGCUCACCAAGGCGACGAUCAGUAGCUGGUCUGAGAGGAUGACCAGCCACAUUGGGACUGAGACACGGCCCAAACUCCUACGGGAGGCAGCAGUGGGGAAUCUUGCGCAAUGGGCGAAAGCCUGACGCAGCCAUGCCGCGUGAAUGAUGAAGGUUCUUAGGAUUAGUAAAAUUCUUUACGACC